AAAAUAGUCACUGAUUAUGCACAGGUGGAUCACAGAUAAAAUUGGAUUUUAAUGUUAAGGAAACAAUGCUGGCUGUUCUAUGAAUAAUAAGCUGUGAGUUGGAAGUAGAUAGCGAACUGGCUUCUUCAAGGGGAGUGGAUUGGAGAGAAGAUAAAUUGUGGGGGAGACCAACUAGUAGGUUAUUUUUGUCGUCUAGGCAGCAGUUGAUGGUGUCUGAAUAUUUCCAGGUUAAAGAUUAGAGAAGCCCAAGGCCACAAUUUUUUUUUAAUGAAGAGCAAUUAACUUUGCACUUGUUGGAGAGAACUUCAAUGUUUAGGUUUUUUAAACAGCUAGGACUGAUGGAGCUCCAGUUUUCUUGCAUUCACCCUUAGAACCCUCACACAAAAUUGUGACAAAGUCAUUUAUGCAUCUUCAAUUCAUGACAGCAAUAUAUCAGAAGUUUUAAUUUUCUCAUUUCCAUGAUAUAAGGGGCUGCUUCUUUGUGAAAUUAUAUAUAUGACAUUAGCGUAGUAAUACAGAAAAUUUUAUAUGUAUGAUCUUUGAAGUUGGGGGUUUGGGGCUGUAAUGUUAUAAUGAAAGAAGUGUUAUUAUUUUUUAACCAGGAAAGGCUUUUUAAAAAACAAUUUGGCAUCAGAAUUUUGAACUGAAUUUGAACUUAGUGGUAUAUGAAUUAGUUUCCCCUUGGUUAUAUGGGACUACAUUUUUUCCCCCAAGGAAAACAAAUUGAAAGCCUUUGAAAAAAGCUGCAUACCCUAUUAACAUAUCAAAUAACCUUACAAAAUAAUUAUUUGAUGUUAAGUGUGAAAGUGUCAGAAAUAUGGAGAUUAAAUUUCCUCUGGGACAUUUCUACAUGAAUGGAAAAAGUGCUUAGUAGAACACCUUUUGGGUUUUGCCUGUUCCCAGAAGUAUUUCAAAAGGAAAACAGAAAUUUAACAAAUCCAAGAGCAGCUGAAUUUUUACAUUCUUUACACAUAUUGUAUUACUUAAUUUCUUUUCCAGUUCCUUUAGUUUGAUCCUUUUAAUAUAUUGGAUUUUCUAAAUUUUAUCUACUGAGUUUUAGUUUCAGAUGAAUAUUUUCAAACGAGACCAACGGUAUAACCAGAGGUAACUGGCAACCAACAUUCUCCUCUGAAGAAUUUCUGAAUUUAAGAAAAUAUUCUUUGGAAGGAAAUCAAUAUGCACAGCAACAGUUUAGGAAUGGAAUAUUAAGCUCUACCUCCUUGAAUAGCUACAUAAAUUGUUUGGAAUUCUUCUGCAUGGGGGAUUUGCCUUCCAUUUAUUUAUUUAUUCAUGUAUUCAUAUCAGUAUGGACAUACAUGCCACAAGUUCCAUGAAAAAAGGAAUCCUGCUUGUCAUCUGAGAGUAAAACUCUCAGAUCUGGCGAAUGUUAAACAUUUUCUGAAUUUUAUCAGAUGAAUCAGUGACUCACUAAGCGAUUGCCAUGCAAUUAAAAAUUUUAUGUAAACAUCUAAAAUUGUUUUGGCUUAUGUUCU
rnacentral:lncRNA from 1 species